rnacentral:lncRNA from 1 species
GGGGUGAAGCUGGCGCUGGACCUGGGUCUCAAGUUCGGAGGAGCACCGAGCGUGGGUGACCCCCACCCAGGAGCCCGCCUGUAGACCUCAACCCCACGUUCCGCGCGCCACCUGCUGGGGCUGUGGUGAGACCAGUAAGGAAACAUCCACUGCCCCACAUCUGGCUUCUCUGAUUCCAUAUUCUGGAGCUGUUGCUGAGCCUG